UGGAAAGAGCAGGGAAGGCUACUGCUCCCACUCUUGUGGGAUUUUUUCCAGCUCUUAAACAGGAAUCAGACUCACCCCAGCAAGCUUUGUUUUCUAAACUCAGCCAGGACCAGUUAACAGUAGUGCUUCUCACCAGAGUGAAUUAAAUGAUACAGUCUUUAACAGAGUAUUGGGAAGCAGGAUACAGGUCUUGACAGGUGAAGAAUACACCAUGGAGCCAAGUGAGAGGAGCAUUCAGGUAACCCCAGGCUCCUGGGCAAUGUUCUUUUGUGAGUCCACUGCUGGCAGAGACUGUGGGGUAGAUGAAUUAUAUCCUUCCCCACUCACACCUAGAUUAACAACACUAUGAAAGCACAUGGAAAUCAUCAUGGUAUUGUCAAUUUAAUCACUAAUAUCAAACAAGAAGGGAAUAGAGAAGACUUCUAAUAUACUGCUGGCAAAUGUGAAAUUUGUAGUAUAUUGCUAUAUUCACUUUCACUGGGUGGAUGACAUAUACACACUGAGAUUUAUGUUUUUACAAAAUUCUUGCCAACACUUAUGUUUUUACUCAACUAUACAAACGGUUGAAAAUAUUUUUUAAAAAAAUCUACACUGCAGACAGAAAACAAAAUGAAUAAGCAUUUUGCAGAUUCUGACUCCUUCAAGAUGUGAUUGAUCAUCCCAUUGCCAUAGGUCAACGUCUGCCAUAGAAAACUCCAGAUAAUCUUCAGCUGCAUUUCCUAAACCAUUAAUAGGACAGACAAGGCCAAGAUAACAAUGCACAAUUUAUUUUCCAAAAGCAGCUGACAGGAGGAAAUGGAUACCAAAUGAAUUAACUCAUUAGAACAGUACAGCACAUUUAGAAAUUCAAAACAGACUGCCUGGAAUGAUUUAAAUGUAACACAAGGUUAAUGUCAGUCCCUUGCUUAGGCAUGUCAGUGUUGUAAUCUUGUGCUCCAGUUUUAGAAAGGUUGAUGGGUGCACACCCUGGGACUUGCAGGUUGGGGUGAGCUAGACUUAAUUAAUUACAUGACUAGAAUACCACCUGUCAUGGCCCCACGCAGGUUGCAUAGUAUGUGCAAGGGUUACAUUCACAUGCAUGGACACACACACAAAACACACAGACAUGACAACAUUUUCUAAUAUAAAUAAAAAAUUCCAUUGCUUGCUUGUUGAUAGUCAGUAUUAAAAAUAGUAGGUAUCUUAUAGGCUGUAAAUACAUUCUGUCUUUUAAGAAACUGCACCUAUGUCCAGAGCAAAAACCUGUCAGUUGUCUCGAGGGAGAAAAGUUUCUCUCAUGCCUGAUUUAUAACCAACAGAGAAAUUUGGUUUUAACAUUUGUCAGCCACAAGUUGUCAACCAAGCCUAUUUUCUCCUGGCGACUUUCCACCUGUGUGUCUUUCACAGUUACAGGAGUGUAUUUUUAGAAAAUUGUGGACUUCUACUCAGCAUACCAGACUCCAUUACAGCACUGCUAAGAAAUCGCUUGGAACAAGGGUCAUCCCAAAACAAAAGCAAUUCAAGCAGCCUAUCUGAGAGGAAGAUGAGGAAGGAAGGAAGGGGGCUUAUUUCAUCUUCCACACUGCCAAUCAUUUUACAUCGUCCCAGAUUAUGCAAUAUACCAUAGCAGGGACUGUGAAGCAUGAGUUCAUCAGGAAAGGGCACAUUCGUUAGUGCUGCUGCCACGUGUGGUCUCAGGUGUCUGAGGUAGAAAGGUCACAGCUACAGACUUAACAGCAUCACCAUUGGGCCUCAGUCCACACCCACUCCUGGUUAUCCAGGGUUAUGAGGAAAGAGGUUAAAUGCUUUCAUGUGAAAUCUGUUUAUCCUGUAGUCAUACAAAGAAGAAUCCAGUUAAAUUAAGUAGCUCCCUUAAGAAUGACAGUUACUGUGCAGUACAGAUUAAAACAAAAUUGCAUGAAUUAGAGAUCUGAUUUCAUUUUGCAGUGGUGGUUUACAAUGUGUAGUGUCCGACAAUAUAUCCUAAAUUGAGGAUUUAAAAUGUAUAAUGAUGUGUAAUGUCUUUGGUGCUCAAACUCUUGUUCCUUCGUUUGCAUAUAAAUCAUGGUGAGAAAAAACUGGGUUGGCAUAAGGCACAAGACUUUGUCUCAUAUUAAAAAAAAAAAAAUCAGCUCUGUUGGAAUGAGGUAAAAUUACAAAGCUAAGAGCAAGAUUAUGUCAGAUCAGGGGUUGUUUCACAUGGUCACAACCUUUCUUUUCCUUGAAUAUCUGGGUUUAUUAUGAUAUUUCAAUAAUCUUUAGAAAAGUGUUGAAAAUCCAUUUUUUAAACUGGUCUUUGUCCUUUGACUGAAUUCCUCACAUAGACAUGCACACAAACCCUUAAUCCUUUCCAUUAUGCACCAACAGGCUUCAGUGGAGCCCCCAGUCACAGCACUUCUGAAGUCAAACAUGUUGGGUCUCCUGUGGAAACUAUCUUGCAAAUUCUUGCAGACCAGUUGUGUGAUCCCAGUUCAAGCAACCAGCCAGCUCUGCAAAUUGCGGGUACAAAUCAGAUACAGUCUUCUUCCUUUAUUUUGUUCUGGCUUAAAGCAGCUCUCUGAGAUCAACCUCAUCCAUGCAAUUGUCCCAAAGAGAAUUGCUAGAUUUAGCUGACAGAUGCAUAAAAUCUCAUGUUGUCACAGAAUUCCCAUGUCUAGUCAGCACCAGAUGUCAAAGAAUGCAAAUCUACAGCUGGAUCUGGUGUGCAUUUGUACUCCAAAUUCCUUCCCUCACAGCUGUUGUUUUCCACCUCCAUGUACAUAAAGCUGAAUUUUCAGAAGCAGGAGAUAGACCAUGGCUCCUUAUAUUGAUGUGAAUAUAUAUGUGUAUUUAUUUGCCCAGAAAACACCUUUUUGGAUUGAAUAAUAGUGUAUUUGUGAGUGUAUGGUAAGUGUAUUUGUGAGAGUAUGCUCACACAUCAGUAUUGAAAACAGCUUUGCUUAUCUUAUAAUCUCUUCUCAACAAGUUCUGUGGAACCAAAGUUGUUUUUCCAAGUAGCUGUUUAGAGGUACAGAAUUGGAUUGUCAUCCUUGCUUAGGCCUCCUGGGCACCAUGGAAACAAUAAGCAUGGCCACAGUAGUACAAAUCAAAAGGUUUGUAGACAUGAGGAACUGCAGAGCAGUGUUUCUUCAGUUAUCUUCAGGGGCCUUUGCUGGCCAUUCUUAGUGUCUCUCAGGAAAGGAAGCUCUAGCCUGGGACUAUAAUGACUGGUUUGAAAUUUUGUUCUCUUAUGUAGAUACUACCAGCCUGCACAGCUUUUGAAAUAUUGUCAGUGAGCACCAUUAAAAUAAUAUGUCUGCAAGAGCUGAAUUGAUGUGAAUUUUUCCUUUUCUUUUUCAUAUCUAAAUAAGUGGAAAAUUUGAAACAACAGGUAAGGGUGACUACAACAGUCUACAUGUUUUCCUGAGCUUCCUGUAAAUGAAGUCAGAGGUUCAGAAUUUCCAAGGUUCACUUCCAGUGACCUCAAGUGUAGCUUAGAUUUCAUUUCCUUAAAUGAAGGUAACAUGCACAUGGAGACCUUUUCUUUCCACUUGCUUGUGAUGAUCUUCAAUUCAGUGUGAGUUCUCUGUUGCACAAAUACUAGUUACAAUCUACGAAAAUAUUUGAUUUCUCACACCUCUGUAUUUCAGCCAGGCAAGAAAGUUGGUUUUCUCUAGGACUGAGGACACAUUACUGUGUUUAAAAGCGAUGAGUCUUAAAUUAUGAGAGUGGUGAGUACUCGGAACACAGGUUCAAAUUGAAUCAAAAAGUCCGAAAUAGACAAUUACAUGUAAAUUCCUGAUUUUUAAGGAAAGCAUAGCACACACUUUACCAUUGCAACAUGCCUUAUUUUAGACUCAUAGUUUUUCAAACAUUCAUCUUUUCCUGAACUGUUUUUAUUGACUUCAGCUAGACGAGGAUAUUGUGGUCUUGGUUUUAUCCCCUGCAUGUUUCAAUGCCUGCAUCAAAUGCAAUUCCCCUAACAGCCCUGUCUCCCUAACUUCACUGAAACCUGAGGUGGUAAACCAGCAGUGCUGUACAGAUUUCUCAUCCAGUACCUGUAAAUAGCAUAGACUCACCUCACUGGAACUACACACUUCAAGUCAUGACCUGGCUUGCAUGAAGCUAUCCCAGCUCUGUCUACAUCACUGCUACUCAAUGCUUCCAGCUCUCACCCUAGGGCAAGUAGAGCCAGGUCAGGUACCUGCAUCUGUCGUAUGAAUACUCAUAAACCUUCACAUUGCCAAUAAGAUUGAAUCAAAUAAACAAAUCUGGCUAGAAAAUAAUGAAAAGUUGACUCUUAAGGUUGCAUAAGCUGAUGCCAGAGUCCUACUAUUCUCAUGAAAUGCUUUAACAUAACUUGAGUGAUAGCUAUGAAACACACAAGAGGAAUAAAGACAUAGUGUGAAUCCCCGGGUAUUUCUGUAUUUAUUAACUGUGGCCGUAAGACAGAGCAAUGGUAAUGAAAAUGUUAAGUGGCAAAGGCACUUUUGGGAAGUCUAGCAGUGUUUAUUAUUACUAUUAUUAUAUACAUAUCCACAAUAUCCAUUUUUAAAGUAGAUAAUAGCAUCAAUUUAGGAAAGCACUGAUUUAAGAUUAAAAAAAAAAAAGUGGUGUUUAAUGGUUUUACAUUAAGCACUAGCAGAGCCACCCACUAUCAGAUAAGAGGAAAGGAGAGAGAAGAGUAUAAAAUACUUUGUUUGAAGUUAUAUGACCCAGCACAAAUAGCCCUAGUGACAUUUUAAGAUCGAAUAGUCCCAGCAUCAGAUACAUGUACUUCAGAUCACAAGGGGAAGUUUUGACAAGUUGAGCCUGAUCUGUCUAGGAUCUAGUGCUAGUGCUCGGAGUGACAGAAACUUUUAUUUAAUUCUGACUUCCUGGAGUUUAUCCUGCAUAUUUUUAAAAGUAUCAGCAGGUUGCAUUUACUUAUUUGGCAUUGAAUGCUUUAUAGUGACAAUAUCUCAAUGAACUGCUUAUUAAAAAAAUUAAAAAUGUGUUUACCUAGUUAUAUUUUUAGAUUAUUAUAUUUAGAUUAGUGACUGUUUUUCUGAAGGAAUAGAAAGGAAUUACUCCCAUGGUAAAAGCAAAUAUUUCUGAAAUUGAUGAAGAAAUACAUGUUCAGGUGUUAAAAACAAACAAAAAACAAACAAAAAA